rnacentral:lncRNA from 1 species
AGGACAGUGUAGCCUUCCUUAGCAAGUUGGAAUUGUGCCUCGAUUAGCUUCAAGCUCUUCCACUGCCGCAGGCUGUAGUCCUAGUGGUUGGUACCUUGCUGUUUCUUGAUCUAGACCUCUUGCAUCUUAUUAUGGAUUGCCUUUUCGUUGAGCUUAUUAAGUCCCUUUCCUGUGUAGUUGGCUGUAAACUUCAUGGUAAUACGGCAAAACUUGCAACUUUGUGUCAAUUCUUUUCGGCUAUCAAUGGCCAUCUGCAGGAACUACUGUCAGCGUCACAUUUGGUAGGGAUGAAACAUAUCUCAUUGAUGUAUUCUGUCUACUGUUGCCCGUUGGACUCCACACGUUACCUUCUUUCUGGCUUAAUAUAAUUUUAGGAUUGAAUUAUGUUGAUUGUUAUCACUUGUGUGUCUAGUGGGGCUCAGACAACGCAAUCAAAGCAGUUUUAGCCACUAUAGAUGGCACUCAAAGAUGAUGAAGUAUGCUGCCAUUCUAGAGCUUUGAGGUUAGGUAAGCUCGGUCCAAAAGAUCUGAAACAGCUUAUUAAAUUUAUGGUAUUUUGGAUUCUUUUAACCUAAGCAGUGCAUAAUCCAGCAGGCAACAAAAAUCAGCCGAACUAAUUGUUCCAUCAGGAAAUACUUAAAAGCUAAAUGAUAAGGACCAUUCAACAAUGAAAAUUCAAGGCUAGGGCAACCGAGCAAAGUGAUCUCCAUGCAAAAAGAAUCCAUGAGAACCCGCAGGAGACCC